rnacentral:rRNA from 1 species
AAACGACUCUCGGCAACGGAUAUCUCGGCUCUCGCAUCGAUGAAGAACGUAGCAAACUGCGAUACUUGGUGUGAAUUGCAGAAUCCCGUGAACCAUCGAGUCUUUGAACGCAAGUUGCGCCCGAAGCCACUAGGCCGAGGGCACGUCUGCCUGGGCGUCACGC